UUCGGCUUGUGUAGUUUACAUGAAGAUUAUGACAAAGGGCGCGCUGUAGUAGUGAAUUUACAAACUAAUUGUAUUAUUUAACUAGACAUUUUUUUUUUUAAAUUUCAUUUUAAGUUGCUCACCAUAUUUAUCAUUUCAUAUUGUAUACUAUUGCUCAUUUACAUUAUUUUGAUUAGAUAGUUUAUUUUUGAGUUCUACACAAUUUUUUAAAAUAUUUCCAUAAAUAUUUUGACCACACUAGUUACGCGCAUAGUUAGAGCGCGCUGUUCUUCUAAGAUGCGUAGAUUAAUGUGACUUUAAUCUACACGCAAUGUCUAUAACAUUAAAUUAAUAAUGUAAGGUGUCGCACGUGUGCAUGAAUGGGAAGUAUAUAGAUUUAUUGGUGGAUGUGUAUUAUUAUUCCUUGCAAUGUUACUUUUUCUGACUAGUAGUCAUUUAUAAUAUAAAUUAAUUAUUUUAAUUUAAUCACAUUAAAUAUGCAUUAUAUUCCACUUUAAACGCUUCUAAUAUUAUUUAGAAAAAUGGAAAUUUUUACAUCAGCUCCAAAUAAUUUCAAAAUUGAAAAUGUUGAACGAGAUGAACAAAAAACUGAAACGAUCAUUAUUUUUGAAUUACAAACAGAGAAUGGAAUGAAAAAAAAUAUAAGAAUGACUUCUUCUCAACUUCAAAACAUUCAAAAUAAUGUUUGUAGUUUAUUGAAGCAAACUAUUGUUUUAAAAUCCAAACUUAAACUUAAUUAGUAUUGUAAUUAUAUUAAUAUAGUUUUAAACAUACUAUACGUUUUUGUUUGAUAUAAAGAAUAUAUCUGAUUUUUUUAA